ACGGGUGCGUAACGCGUAUGCAAUCUACCUUCACAAAGGGAUAGCCCAGAGAAAUUUGGAUUAAUACCUUAUAGUAAUACGACUUGGCAUCAAGAUGUAUUUAAAGAUUUAUCGGUGAAAGAUGAGCAUGCGUCCCAUUAGCUUGUUGGUAAGGUAACGGCUUACCAAGGCAACGAUGGGUAGGGGUCCUGAGAGGAGAUCCCCCACACUGGUACUGAGACACGGACCAGACUCCUACGGGAGGCAGCAGUGAGGAAUAUUGGACAAUGGGCGCAAGCCUGAUCCAGCCAUGCCGCGUGCAGGAUGACGGUCCUAUGGAUUGUAAACUGCUUUUGUACAGGAAGAAACCCUUUCACGUGUGGAAGAUUGACGGUACUGUAAGAAUAAGGAUCGGCUAACUCCGUG
rnacentral:rRNA from 1 species